rnacentral:rRNA from 1 species
AGGAUUCCCCUAGUAAUGGCGAAUGAAGCGGGAACAGCUCAAAUUUGAAAUCUCCGUUGCCUGCAACGGCGAAUUGUAGUUUCGAGAAGCAUCUUCUCGGCGACUCCCGGGCCGUCCAAGUUGCUUGGAACACCACGUCAUAUAGGGGGACAACCCCCUCUGUGGGGGAACCGGACCGCUCACGAUGUGCUUUCUACAAGUCGGGUUGUUUGGGAAAGCACCCCAAAAUGGGUGGGAAACUCCCUCUAAAGGUAAAUAUUGGGACGAGACCCAUAGCGAACAAAUACCGUGAGGGAAAGGUGAAAAACACUUUUAAAAAAGAGUUAAAAAAUACGUGAAACCGUUAAAAGGGAAACAAAAGGGGUUAGCAAUGCGCUCUCUGCGAGAUUCACCCGGGGCGGGGCGCCCGGGGGGCGGUCUGCGGAUCCCUAAAGGACCGCGGCCGUUCGCCUUCCGCGUCCGGACCGUCGCACUUCUCGCGAGCGCGCGCCAACGUCUGUUGGGACUGGGUCUGCCCAAGGCGCCCGUAAGGUGGACCCGCCCCCCCGGGCGCGGUGUGAUAUACACGGGUCUCACAGCCCCCGCCCCACACAGAAGACCCGCGGCACGCGCCAUUUCUCUUUGUAUAGGCCCCCCUCUCCCGUCUCGCUCCUACAGUGCUGGGCAGCGCGCGCAGCGCCCCGACACCGCGCCCGCUCUCCCCGGGUGCAUCUCUCAUCACAUGCCCCCGAGAUUUGGGGGGUCAUAUGGCCYUCYYCCASACCCYYYUUGAACCACRGACMMAGGRGWYUMACAUGUGCGGGAUUUUUGGAGUGACCGAAACUCCCAGGCGUAAUGAAAGUGAAGGCGGGUCCCCUCGCGGGCCUCCGCCGAGGCGAGAACCCCUUUCCCCGCUAAGGGGCGGGCGCAUCGUCGACCGACCUAUUCUACUCUUAGGAAGGUUUGAGUAAGAGCGUACCUGUUGGGACCCGAAAGAUGGGAAACUAAGUA